UACAGAGGUCCCGAGCGUUGUUCGGAAUCACUGGGCGUAAAGGGUGCGUAGGCCGCACGGUAAGUCAGAGGUGAAAUCCCGGAGCUCAACUCCGGAAUGGCCUCCGAUACUGCCGUGCUCGAGGACUGGAGAGGAGUCUGGAAUUCACAGUGGAGCAGUGAAAUGCGUGGAUAUUGUGAGGAACACUAGUGGCGAAGGCGAGACUCUGGACAGUUCCUGACGCUGAGGCACGAAAGCGUGGGGAGCAAACAGG
rnacentral:rRNA from 1 species